UUAUAAGGAUGAGAGGGAAGAUUUUGCCAAAAAGUACAUGACUCAAAAGCAAGUUUCAACACAGUGAAAUCAAAACACAUUCAUAUUACAUACGCAAGAAGUAACCUUUGGAAUAAAAUAGAAAU
rnacentral:ribozyme from 1 species